AGUGAACGCUGGCGGUAGGCCUAACACAUGCAAGUCGAACGGCAGCACAGUAAGAGCUUGCUCUUACGGGUGGCGAGUGGCGGACGGGUGAGGAAUACAUCGGAAUCUACUUUUUCGUGGGGGAUAACGUAGGGAAACUUACGCUAAUACCGCAUACGACCUACGGGUGAAAGCAGGGGAUCUUCGGACCUUGCGCGAGUGAAUGAGCCGAUGUCGGAUUAGCUAGUUGGCGGGGUAAAGGCCCACCAAGGCGACGAUCCGGAGCUGGUCUGAGAGGAUGAUCAGCCACACUGGAACUGAGACACGGUCCAGACUCCUACGGGAGGCAGCAGUGGGGAAUAUUGGACAGAGGGCGCAAGCCUGCUCCAGCCAUACCGCGUGGGUGAAGAAGGCCUUCGGGUUGUAAAGCCCUUUUGUUGGGAAAGAAAAGCAGCAGGUUAAUACCCCGCUGUUCUGACGGUACCCAAAGAAUAAGCACCGGCUAACUUCGUG
rnacentral:rRNA from 1 species